AAUAAGAUUAGUUAAAAUUUAAUAACUUUAGAUUUGCGUUCUAAAAUUGGGAUUAUAUCUCCUCUUAUUA
rnacentral:tRNA from 1 species